GGGGGCUAGGAUGAAAUUUGAAAAAAAUAGGCAGGACAGGAAUUUUGAGUAAAAAAAAGGCAGGAUGAGCAACUUGGUAGAAAAAAAAGGCAGGAUGACAAUUUGUGUAAAAAAAGUCAGGAUAAACUAGUAAAAAAAAGGGCAGGACCGAAUAGAGUAAAAAAUAAAAAGGCAAGACAGAGAUUACAACUAAAAAAAAAAGCAGGACAACAUUUUUCAUCCUAGCCCCCCC
rnacentral:lncRNA from 1 species